rnacentral:lncRNA from 1 species
AGGAAUAAAGCUUGAAGCCCCGGGGCUGCCGCCUUGGGGGAAGGCUCCUGCCGGAACCCGGGGUCAACCGGAAGUCUGUGAACUGCGACCCCGGGAGGGAGCUCCCUCAGCGGCCUGGGGCCGGGAGUUGAAACCACACUUUUCCCGUGACGGGACCCUGUGUUCUCAGCUAUGGAGAAGAGAAGAUUGUGACACAGACAGAGACACAGACGUGUAUGUAGAGAGAUGACUAUGUGAUGAUGCAGGAGAAGAUAGCCGUCUGCAAGUCAAGGAGAGAGGCUUUUGAAGAAACCCACCCUACUGACACCUUGAUGUUGGACUCCCAGCCUCCAGAAUGGUUCUUCUCGCUUUGUUGGUGAUUGUGUCACUUGGAUUAGGGCUGGGCCUUGGACUCAGGCAACCGGAAAAGC